GGGGAUUUAGCUCAGUGGUAGAGCGCUUGCCUAGUAAGCACAAGGCCCUGAGUUCAGUCCCCA
rnacentral:tRNA from 1 species